rnacentral:tRNA from 1 species
UCCUUGAUAUUUCAGUUGGUAAAGAAUCUGCCUGCAAUGCAGGAGAACUGGGUUCGAUCCCUGGUUGGGAAG